UGUUUUUCACACUUGAGAGUGCUUUACAAGUACAUCCAGCUGCUGACACCACCACUAUUACUAAUGCAAUGACAACAACUAUAUGUCAUUAGGUUGAUUCUGACCUACAGUGGUCCAGCUAUAUUGGUCUAGAUACAAAGCAUCAGAAAUCAUUUACCAGUCCCAAAGCUGCAGAGGUGAUGGGCACAUAACCAGAUCAGCCACCUACAGUCUGACUGAUCUGGGCUGGCCCAUCUCCCAGGAAGCACCGUGGGGAUGCAGACUCCCAACUCCCUGGUUCUGCAGCCAGGGGCUUCAACUCACUGAAUUAUACCAGCUAACUACCAGUAUAAUGUAUACUGCUACUACUGCUGCUGCAAAAACUGGCUACAUAAAUAUAAGGAUCUCAUUGUUUCCAAUUUGUUAUGAACAUGGAAGUAUAUUGGUUCAUCAACCUCUGGGAGACCAUACAUUCCUCAGCUGUGGUUUAGGUUGUUCAUUGGCGAUUACUCAACAAUCUGUGGGCAAGACUCCUCCAUGUGUUAUGUUGUCUCUGUUAUACUUUCCAAAGAUGGGGAAAGAAACUUUUUCAUCCUUCCGCUACUAGAAUAUCUCAGCCAAUGGUCAUGCUGGGUCAAAUUUUCUGAAAGUUGUAAUUUAAACAUGUAAUUACUUUUUGAAAAAUCUAUGUUAUUCUCUUACUUCUUGUCACCCAAAGUCCAGUUUACACAUAGGAUGUCAGGUUAGAAACUUUCCUACUCAUACCUUCCUUACAUGCUGCAAACUAUUUUGCUCCCUAAACAACAGCAUUGUUCGACAUUUAUUGUGAAUCCUUGGUUACUAUAGUAACACUGUAAGUUGUAAAUCUUUCACUUUUAGUUGAUAUAUUAUAUUUUAGGUCACAAAGCAGAUGCAUACAUUCACCCUGCCCCCAUUUUGUUGUUGUUCAGUUUUCUAACAUUUCAGGUGAUGGAGAAAUUAGUGUUUGCAAAAGGAGAUAAUAGUCUGACAAGUUAAAACUGCAAAGAGUCAGUUGUACAUUUGAUUGCAUAAAACCCAAUUUGUUUGAGUCUUUUUCAAAACGUUAAUAUAAUGCCUUUAAGAAGUACUGCUUUCUUCUACAGUUUGAGUCUCACAUUACAAGUGUUAAUUAAAUUACUCUCCAACCAACUCCACUGAAGUCUACUAAAGGAUUCCUAUUGACUGAAUGGAUUAUUCCCUAAGGGAAAUGGCACACUGUGAAAAUGCCACAGUAAUUAUGAAGUAAAGGGUCCCUCUUUCAUAAACCUCUAAGGAGAAAGAGUCCACAGAGUCUAUAGUUGAAAUUACAUAUACACUAAGCAGGAAGCAAGUCCCAUCAGCCCUAUUCAGCUUAGCUAGUGGGGGGUGAGGAGAGUUGCAGUCUAGCAAUAUCUAGAGGGCUUGGACAUUCCCCAAUUUUCUACCAGGCAAACAAAACAAAAGGGACUUGAUUUUGCAACAAUAAUUCCAGUGGAAAACUAUGUUUUUCCCCCUGCCACUGUCAAAUGUGUAGUGUGAUUGAAAGAUACCCUACUCCAAGUACCGUGCUCAAACCCUGCUGAGAAUUUGGGAGCAUCAUUCAUAUC
ensembl:lncRNA